UACGUAGGAGGCGAGCGUUGUCCGGAAUUACUGGGUGUAAAGCGCGCGUAGGUGGGAGGCCAAGUCUGUGGUGAAAGCGCCCGGCUCAACUGGGCAUGGUCCAUGGAAACUGGUCACCUGGAGGACGGUAGAGGCGAGUGGAAUUCCCGGUGUAGUGGUGAAAUGCGUAGAGAUCGGGAGGAACACCAGUGGCGAAGGCGACUUACUGGACACAUAUUGACGCUGAGGUGCGAAAGCGUGGGGAGCGAACAGG
rnacentral:rRNA from 1 species